GGGGUUAUAGCUCAAUGCUAGAGCACUCACCUGGCAUGUGUGAGGCCCUGGGUUCGAUCCUCAGCACCA
rnacentral:tRNA from 1 species